GAUGAACGCUAGCGGCAGGCCUAAUACAUGCAAGUCGAACGGGAUCAGGGAGCUUGCUCCCUGUGAGAGUGGCGCACGGGUGCGUAACACGUAUGCAACCUACCUUCAACUGGGGGAUAGCCUUCCGAAAGGAAGAUUAAUACCGCAUAAUAUAAUUGAACGGCAUCGUUUAAUUAUCAAACGUCAGGGUUGAAGAUGGGCAUGCGUCCGAUUAGUUUGUGGUGAGGUAACGGCUCACCAAGACUACGAUCGGUAGGGGAUCUGAGAGGAAGGUCCCCCANACUGGCACUGAGAUACGGGCCAGACUCCUACGGGAGGCAGCAGUAGGGAAUAUUGGGCAAUGGUCGGAAGACUGGCCCAGCCAUGCCGCGUGCAGGAAGACGGCCCUC
rnacentral:rRNA from 1 species